AUGUUACCAAGUGUUCAUCCACUCCCUGGACUCUCUUCUCUCCAGACCCCGGAGAUGGGGGUCAUGGGGCCGAGAAGCCUCCUCCUGCUGCUGCCGGGGGCGCUGGUCCUGACGGAGACCUGGGCGGGCUCCCACUCCCUGAGAUAUUUCUACACCGCCGUGUCCCGGCCCGGCCUCGGGGAGCCCCGCUUCAUCGCCGUCGGCUACGUGGACGACACGCAGUUCGUGCGAUUCGACAGCGACGCCCCGAAUCCGAGGAUGGAGCCGCGGGCGCGGUGGGUGGAGCAGGAGGGGCCCGAGUAUUGGGAUCUGAACACGCGGAGAACGAAGGACGCCGCACAGACUUUCCGAGCGAACCUGAACAACCUGCGCGGCUACUACAACCAGAGCGAGGCCGGGUCUCACACCGUCCAGGAGAUGUACGGCUGCGACGUGGGGCCGGACGGGCGCCUCCUCCGCGGGUACAGUCAGUACGGCUACGACGGCAGAGAUUAUAUCGCCCUGAACGAGGACCUGCGCUCCUGGACCGCGGCGGACACGGCGGCUCAGAUCUCCAAGCGCAAGUUUGAGCAGCGCGGUGCUGCGGACCGUGUGAGACACUACCUGAACCGCGAGUGCGUGGAGGGGCUCCGCAGAUACCUGGAGAACGGGAAGGACACGCUGCUGCGCGCAGACCCUCCAAAGACACAUGUGACCCAUCACCACAUCUCUGAGCGUGAGGUCACCCUGAGGUGUUGGGCCUUGGGCUUCUACCCUGAGGAGAUCUCACUGACCUGGCAGCGUGAUGGGGAGGACCAGACCCAGGACAUGGAGCUUGUGGAGACCAGGCCUUCAGGGGAUGGAACCUUCCAGAAGUGGGCAGCCCUGGUGGUGCCUUCUGGAGAGGAGCAGAGAUACACGUGCCAUGUGCAGCACGAGGGGCUUCAGGAGCCCCUCACCCUGAGAUGGGGUCAGGAGGGGGAUGGGAUGGAGCUUUUCUCAGAUAAAGCAGGAGCCCUUCUGGAUACAGUUCAGCAAGGUCAAGACUCAAGCCUGAGGUCAGGGCCCCUUCCCUUUCCUCCAUAGAACCUCCUCAGCCCUCUGUCCCCAUCAUCAUCGUUGUUGGUCUGCUUUUCCUUGUGUUCAUUGGAGCUGUGGUGACUGGAGCUGGGAUCUGGAGGAAGCGCUCAGGUAGGGAAGGGAGGGAGAGAUCUGAGUUUUCUUGUCUCACUGAGGGGUUUCAAGCCCAGGUAGAAGUUUGCCUGCUUUGUUCCUGGGAACUACCAUCCAUGCAUAUGGGCUUGCUGGUCUGGAGCUGAUGCUAAUAUUGACCCUUUUGUAAAGUACGUGUGAAAAUGAAAGAUAGAUUUUUCACCUUCAUAAUUUCA
rnacentral:lncRNA from 1 species